rnacentral:ncRNA from 1 species
CUAUGGCAAAUUAUUUGUCAUGGCGGAAGGAG